rnacentral:rRNA from 1 species
GAUGAACGCUGACAGAAUGCUUAACACAUGCAAGUCAACUGUGGCGGACGGGUUAGUGACGCGUAAAGAACUUGCCUACGAGUUAGGGACAACAUUUGGAAACGAAUGCUAUUACCUGAUACUGUGAGAGAGCUUUGCGUCCCAUUAGCUCGUGGGAGAGGUAACGGCUCACCAAGGCGAGGAUGGGUAGCCGGCCUGGGAGGGUGAUCGGCCACAAGGGGACUGGGAGACGGCCCGUACGCCUACGGGAGGCAGCAGUGGGGAAUAUUGGACAAUGGACCAAAGUCUGAUCCAGCAAUUCGGUGUGCACGAUGAAGUUUUCGGAAUGUAAAGUGCUUUCAGUUGGGAAGCGGUACCAACAGAAGAAGUGACGGCUAAAUACGUGCCAGCAGCCGCGGUAAUAC